GUGUCAGCCGCCGCGGUAAUACGUAGGUGGCGAGCGUUGUCCGGAAUUACUGGGUGUAAAGGGAGCGCAGGCGGGGAAGCAAGUCAGCUGUGAAAUCUAUGGGCUUAACCCAUAACGUGCAGUUGAAACUGUUUUUCUUGAGUGGAGUAGAGGUAGGCGGAAUUCCGAGUGUAGCGGUGAAAUGCGUAGAUAUUCGGAGGAACACCAGUGGCGAAGGCGGCCUACUGGGCUCUAACUGACGCUGAGGCUCGAAAGUGUGGGGAGCAAACAGGAUUAGAUACCCUGGUAGUCCACACUGUAAACGAUGAUUGCUAGGUGUGGGGGGUCUAACCCCCUCCGUGCCGGAGCUAACGCAAUAAGCAAUCCACCUGGGGAGUACGGCCGCAAGGCUGAAACUCAAAGAAAUUGACGG
rnacentral:rRNA from 1 species